CCUACGGGUGGCUGCAGUGGGGAAUAUUGGACAAUGGGCGAAAGCCUGAUCCAGCCAUGCCGCGUGUGUGAAGAAGGCCUUCGGGUUGUAAAGCACUUUCAGUGGGGAAGAAAGCCUUGGGGCUAAUACCCUCGAGGGAGGACAUCACCCACAGAAGAAGCACCGGCUAACUCCGUGCCAGCAGCCGCGGUAAUACGGAGGGUGCGAGCGUUAAUCGGAAUUACUGGGCGUAAAGCGCGCGUAGGCGGUCUGAUAAGCCGGUUGUGAAAGCCCCGGGCUCAACCUGGGAACGGCAUCCGGAACUGUCAGGCUAGAGUGCAGGAGAGGAAGGUAGAAUUCCCGGUGUAGCGGUGAAAUGCGUAGAGAUCGGGAGGAAUACCAGUGGCGAAGGCGGCCUUCUGGACUGACACUGACGCUGAGGUGCGAAAGCGUGGGUAGCAAACAGGAUUAGAUACCCUUGUAGUC
rnacentral:rRNA from 1 species